AGAGGGCAAAACCCUCAAAAUAUAACUCUCAUUUCUCAUUCUUACACCCUCACAGUCGCACGCCCCAAAAAAUCUCUCAUUCUCUCUUCUUUGAGAGACAUAGCCAGCUCCAGUCCCCUGUUAGGCCGCCGCCGCCUUCUCCGGCAAGCUGGCUGGCCGGUGGCCAUGGCUACAUUCCUACAACCCUCUAUGUCCUCUCCAAUAGCCAUGAACGAUAAGAAACAGAGAAGUAUAGAUCUGACCGGAGAAAGAAUAAAAUCCAGCGACCACCACUGUUUGGAGUAGCGAGCCCAGCGACCUCCCCUCUCUAAUACUCUCUUCUUUUCCCUUUUCUCACCAUUUUCUCCAUGGUCAUGCUGCCGCCGGAGGUGAUGCCAGGCCUGGAGGCGACCUCCCAUAUUCGACGCGACCAUCUACACCCCCCCCCCCUCAAUGCUUCGCCGCCAACAGUUUGGGGACAGCCAUGGCUGAGCAUCAUCAACGAACCCAUUUUUUUAUUAUUUUUAUUGUAUUGUUCUCACUUUGUUCUUUCUUUUACAAGAAAACAGAUCUAAAAAGAAACUUGAAUCUAGGCUGAAAACCCUUAGACUCCACUGGAAAUGGCAUUUUCCGACGGACCCCUCUUCUUCUCCGUCCUUUUGUUUUGUUUAUUUGUGUACUUUUAUAUGUAAAAUUACAUAAAAAAUGAUGUUUGCUGGUUAUACUAUGGCAGAUCUAGCCGGAUCUAAAUUUUCCGGUGGCCCUGAGUAUUUCUCCGGCAAGCCUUCUCGUUUCUGUUUAUCACCAUCUCAGGUGAUAGUUCGUUUGGUAUAGUGUUGUGCUGCUAUCUUGAGUUUGGAACUAAUUUGACUUGAUUUUCUUGGUUGUUGUACGCGACUGGAAAUUGCUGCUAUGUUUCUCUGUCAUAGAAUCUUGAACUAUUUGUUUGUUUCUGUUUAUCACCAUUCCAGGAGCUCUUUUAUUUGUAUUGCUGCUCUAAAAAACUCUUAUGAGUUUCGUUGACUUUGUUACUAAUUGUUGCUGAAAUUUUGGGUGAGACGGGAUCCCCAAUUGGUUGCUUAUCUAUCCUCAUUAUUGCUCGUUCCGUCUUGAUUUUGUAAUAGCUGCUUCUGCUAUGGGGUUCAUGCUUGUGUCCUUAUUAUGAUUUCGACCAUUUUGUUAGAUUACUAAUGUAUACACAAAUUGUUUCUGUUGGUUUCUUUGAUGAUUGUACAGAUCUGACACACUGAAAAGGAACAUGCCGAUGAGAAUAUAAUUUUAGAGGCCUUGUGAUGAUUUUUGACUGAUAAAGGACAAGAUACUACACUGUCCCUCGGAUCCGGAACUAAAUAUAUUUAUGAGGCGAUGACAAAAGCCAAAGAAAAAUAAAAGACGAGAAUGUGAAUAUUCGUGCUUCGGAAGACAGCACGGUUGGCCGCCGGAGUUACAACCAAGUCGGUGUUCGCAUUCUAAUGUCUUAUUGCUAUACAGCAUACACCGUCCGAGCCUCCAAAAAUAUUUUUAAAAUCAUUUUCAAAAAAUAAUUUUUUAAAACAUUUUCUAAAAUAAUUUUCCAAAAAAAUAUUUCAAAUCAUAUUCAAAAGGAAGAAACAAUUUUCUAAAAUAUUUUUAAAUAAAAAAUCAUUUCAAAAAAAAAACUUUAAUAACUUAUUUCUACAUCAUAUUAGCUUACUAACAUUUCUUCUUUGUCUGCGAGGUACUUUACUCGGAAGUUGCUUUUCUAAGAUGAUGCUCGGGUUGGCUUGAUAUUCUCGUCAAAAUAUUUGCAUUGUACUUCCCAUUUUUGGAUGUAUCCAACGUAAAAUAUAGUAAAGUAGUAGAUAGAUGUGUUUGCUUGCUUGCUUUGAUAUUACCUAUUUGCUAAACGCUUAGGAAUUGCAUCUAGUUAAUAAUCAGAUUAACUCAUAAUGUUGUAUGUUAAGCGAAUUCACAAAGUUUUGUUUCACGAACUAAAAGCCAACCCGUCGUGAUGGCACCUAACCCAACCCGCUAGGUUAGACAAAUAAAAAUAAAAUACAAUAUAGUGAUAAUGAUAAGAGUCAAAAAUAAAAUAGC
rnacentral:lncRNA from 1 species